GAUUCCGGCGGAUGACGACAAAGCAACCCUAGAAAUUGAAGACAAAAUUCCCCCCAAUGGCAAGCUGAAAAGGACCGAUUGGACCGAAUACAUUGAUCCAGAGAGGACGAUUCAGAAAUACCAAACAUCGGCGAAAAUCCUGGGGACGAAUUUGAGCUCAAAAUAGUGACUGAAAUGCCUAAACCAGUUUUUAAAAAGCCUAAAUUGAAGAGUUAUCAUGUCGCAAAAGAUUGUGAAUAUGGCGAUGAGAAGAAUAUUCUAGUGGAUGUUGGUGAGAGCCUUGUCAGAACAAAAGGCUGUUCUCAAGCUGGCGCGUCAAGUAGAUAUAGGGGAGCAAGGGUUAGAGGACACAACAAGAGAGGACUAAUUAUGCAGCAGAAAUUAAAGGAAAGUCUGCUGAUAGGCAGGAAGAAGUGAAGCUCGAGGAGCCAAUGCAUGGAAUGUUCGAAUGGAGAGGCUGUUUAGUUCAGGGUGGUAAUGUCAAACUUUCUGAUGAGGUGCCAGGGAGAAAUCGGUCAGCAACAAUAAAGGGAUGGAGAUCUUCAAAAUGGAGUUGUUACAUAACAGAAGAAGAUGAUAAUCUAUUGCCUGCAAGUGGGAAAGCUAACAAAAAUCAAUCCAAUCAAGGGUGUGAUCGAAUGCAUUUGAGACUGAAUUUGUUGAUCAAAGGGUAGAUGAAGACAUUCAUCCUGAUUUUCUGUGAAAGUUUUUACAUAUAUGGCACCAGAUUGACCAUUGUAACGUAACGUUCACAAAAUAUUACUAACUUGAUACUUGCUGCAUAAAUAUUUGUAAGUGAAAUGCAUGGUUUUGUAUCAUAGUGAAAUUGCGAUCCUUUUAUGUGCCUAGGACCGAAAGCACUGUGGA